ACCUGGGUGGCUCAGUCAGUGGAGCAUCUGACUUCAGCUCAGUUCAUGAUUUCGCUGUUUGUGGGUUCCAGCCCCACGUCAGGCU
rnacentral:tRNA from 1 species